rnacentral:rRNA from 1 species
UAAUACGGAGGGGGUUAGCGUUGUUCGGAAUGACUGGGCGUAAAGCGCGCGUAGGCGGGCUGGAAAGUUGGGGGUGAAAUCCCGGGGCUCAACCCCGUAAUGGCCUUCAAAACUCCCAGCCUAGAGUUCGAGAGAGGUGAGUGGAAUUCCGAGUGUAGAGGUGAAAUUCGUAGAUAUUCGGAGGAACACCAGUGGCGAAGGCGGCUCACUGGCUCGACACUGACGCUGAGGUGCGAAAGCGUGGGGAGCAAACAG